rnacentral:rRNA from 1 species
UACGGAGGGUGCAAGCGUUACUCGGAAUCACUGGGCGUAAAGGAUGCGUAGGCUGGAAAUCAAGUCGAAAGUGAAAUCCAACGGCUCAACCGUUGAACUGCUUUCGAAACUGGUUACCUAGAAUAUGGGAGAGGUAGAUGGAAUUAGUGGUGUAGGGGUAAAAUCCGUAGAUAUCACUAGGAAUACCGAUUGCGAAGGCGAUCUACUGGAACAUUAUUGACGCUGAGGCAUGAAAGCGUGGGGAGCAAACAGGAUUAGAUACCCUGGUAGUCCACGCCCUAAACGAUGCACACUAGUUGUUGCCCUGCUAGUCAGGGCAGUAAUGCACUUAACAGAUUAAGUGUGCCGCCUGGGGAGUACGGUCGCAAGAUUAAA